rnacentral:rRNA from 1 species
CCUACGGGAGGCAGCAGUGGGGAAUAUUGGACAAUGGGGGGAACCCUGAUCCAGCGACGCCGCGUGAGUGAAGAAGUAUUUCGGUAUGUAAAGCUCUAUCAGCAGGGAAGAAAGAAAUGACGGUACCUGACUAAGAAGCCCCGGCUAACUACGUGCCAGCAGCCGCGGUAAUACGUAGGGGGCAAGCGUUAUCCGGAUUUACUGGGUGUAAGGGGAGCGUAGACGGCGAUGCAAGUCUGAAGUGAAAGGCGGGGGCCCAACCCCCGGACGGCUUUGGAAACUGUAUGGCUGGAGUGCAGGAGAGGUAAGUGGAAUGCCUAGUGUAGCGGUGAAAUGCGUAGAUAUUAGGAGGAACACCAGUGGCGAAGGCGGCUUACUGGACUGUAACUGACGUUGAGGCUCGAAAGCGUGGGGAGCAAACAGGAUUAGAUACCCGGGUAGUC